rnacentral:rRNA from 1 species
CCCGCACAAGCGGUGGAGCAUGUGGUUUAAUUCGAAGCAACGCGAAGAACCUUACCAGGUCUUGACAUCCCGAUGCUAUUCUAGAGAUAGAAAGUUACUUCGGUACAUCGGUGACAGGUGGUGCAUGGUUGUCGUCAGCUCGUGUCGUGAGAUGUUGGGUCAAGUCCCGCAACGAGCGCAACCCCUAUUGUUAGUUGCCAUCAUUCAGUUGGGCACUCUAGCGAGACUGCCGGUAAUAAACCGGAGGAAGGUGGGGAUGACGUCAAAUCAUCAUGCCCCUUAUGACCUGGGCUACACACGUGCUACAAUGGUUGGUACAACGAGUUGCGAGUCGGUGACGGCGAGCUAAUCUCUUAAAGCCAAUCUCAGUUCGGAUUGUAGGCUGCAACUCGCCUACAUGAAGUCGGAAUCGCUAGUAAUCGCGGAUCAGCACGCCGCGGUGAAUACGUUCCCGGGCCUU